AGGGCCCAGCCCUCUGUAUUUUCAUAAAGUCUGAGAAGCAUAAUGGUCCUCUCCCUCUCUAGGGAAAGGCAACAUAGUUCGUACCAUGAAGUUGGGCUCAGACCUUUGACAAUACCAGUGGGAUGGCGAUGAUUUCAUUUCCUGUCCAGCGGAGAAGACAGCCCCACAGAGCGUGGUUUUACCGCUCUCUUGGAGACUGACCAGUUCAAAGCCAUCAUGAGAGAGACAUUUUUGAUGUAUGCUUCCAGCAUGAUAACUUCACAUAGGAUGUAAUAAAACAGCAUGUGCAACAGGA